rnacentral:lncRNA from 1 species
GUCUGGCAUCGCGGCGCCUCCCUUGCUGCCCCGGGCCUGCUCUGGAGAUGCCAGUGCUGUCCCAGCCCCGCAGCGCGGCCUCAGCCUCCGGCCCGGCGCAUCGGCCGCACCACCUGCGCCCUGGACCCCGCCGCCCCAACCUGGCCCCAGAUGCUGAAGCCCGCAGCCGUCGGGAGCAUGGACCGGCCCCGAGGUGCGCGGGACGCAGGGGGCGCGCGCAGUCCGCCCUUCCUACCCGCAACCUCCCUCGCCUCUGCCAGCCCCGCAGGCGCUCCGGGCCUCCAGCUGCGGUCGCCGCUGCUCCAGCUGCGCGUGGCUUCCGGGAACCUCCUCCUCCGCGCCCGUCGUUGCAAAAUUGGAGAGAGGAAAAAGUGGCUUAAAAAAAUAGUUGCGGCCCCUUUAAGGCCUGUCGGCUUCCUUUCCCUUUUCCUCCCUCCGCCCCUCUCCCUUGGCUCGUACCAAAGCGCAGAGGAGGAGAGGGAGGAAGGAACCAUUAACGUCAAGCAAAGUUAGAAACGGAAAAGGAAAGGGUAAAAGAGAAGACCGAAUAAAAAUCUCUGCUUUCCUUUUGUGGAGGGUAUGACUUCCUGGAGGCAAAGAUAAGGCGAUAAAAUUCCUCCUCCUGAGUCUUUGCGUCCCCAAGAGGCCAGGAGAUUUGGUGCAGUCCUCACUUUACUCCCCGCCCCCUAAGUCUCCAGCCGCCUUUGCUCUCGCAGGCUCUAGGCGGCUAGAGAGGCUCCAGAGCGCCCUGCAGAUGGGUUGCUUUUCGCGUGCCCCUUGUGAUGGGAGGAUUAGGUCGCAGGCUCCACCCUACGUCAUCCUCCCAAGCUUCUCAAGCGUCUGGCGCUUGGGGUCACUGCCCUCAAGGAGGCACCUGGAGGGGUACGGAGGGGAGGCUGGAGGAGCAAACGGGGCGCGCUAGGAAAUUCCUCUGUCUUUAGUUCUAGAACCCCUGAUCUCCUAGCAACGAGGCUGCGGAACCUCUGCAGACUCCAAGGGUUUUAUAGCGUCCGGUAGCGACACGGAGCCGGCUCCCCCUUUUCCAGCCUUCCUCCCCAUCUCCCAUUCUCCAUCCCCCACGACCUAUACCAGAGGUCCUUAGGCCUCCACGUCUCUCCUUUUGCCGAGUAGCCCAAGGUUUCCACCCAUCUGCCAGGCUUCGUUAUCUCGUUCUGAGGAAUACCUGUCCCAGAUCAGUGCAGAACUCAUGGAGGAGGCUUUGUGCACUGCUUGCUGCCACUUGAACCCUGUGCCCAUCAAAAAAAAGCAGUCACAAGACCAAGCGACUCAGAUAUCCAAACGCGCAUUCUUCACCAAGACCUGAGGCACAGACACCUGGUGAGUGAGGCUUCAAGGGAGAUGCUCUUUGUCCUGGGAGAGAGAAACCGUACCUGCAGCAAGGCAUACCUCCUGCCAACUCCUGGUGAAAAGAACAUGCCUCAAAACUACUCUUUUGCCACUCGUUAACCACUUCCGUUUGUGGGGACCUCCUGGUCAUGAGCAGCAUCAUCCCGAAGCCUUCAAAGUGUUCUGGAUUCAUCACAGGACCCUCCAGCCUCAGCCAGCAAGGAUACCACCAGGAAUGAAAGUGCUUUAAUAAAGAGACAGGGUGUGCAUUGCUCAUGUGUGGUUUCUCUGGGGUAGAGAAG